rnacentral:rRNA from 1 species
GAUGAACGCUGGCGGCGUGCCUAAUACAUGCAAGUCGAGCGAACAGACGAGGAGCUUGCUCCUCUGACGUUAGCGGCGGACGGGUGAGUAACACGUGGAUAACCUACCUAUAAGACUGGGAUAACUUCGGGAAACCGGAGCUAAUACCGGAUAAUAUAUUGAACCGCAUGGUUCAAUAGUGAAAGACGGUUUUGCUGUCACUUAUAGAUGGAUCCGCGCCGCAUUAGCUAGUUGGUAAGGUAACGGCUUACCAAGGCAACGAUGCGUAGCCGACCUGAGAGGGGGAUCGGCCACACUGGAACUGAGACACGGUCCAGGCUCCUACGGGAGGCAGCAGUAGGGAAUCUUCCGCAAUGGGCGAAAGCCUGACGGAGCAACGCCGCGUGAGUGAUGAAGGUCUUCGGAUCGUAAAACUCUGUUAUUAGGGAAGAACAAAUGUGUAAGUAACUAGGCACGUCUUGACGGUACCUAAUCAGAAAGCCACGGCUAACUACGUG